GCCCUCUCAGAGUCGCACCUGGAGAGUUUCCAGUACUCUACCAGCCUUGACUACAGGAGGGAGAGUCAAGCAGAGGCAUAACUAUUCCAUUCCUAGCUUGGGAAGUGGUUAGCAAGUGGAAGGCCGUUUGCUACAAGU